UUUAUGCAUGCGUAACCGGAAAUGUAGGAGCUCCUCUCACUCCGCUCGUGAUAUUGUCUGACUUGUUUGUAAUGGUUUUUUGGUUAACAUGCGCCAGAUUGAUGAGUGGCCAAAUUGUACACAGCCGCAAAUUGUGGCAAUUUCGGUUACUGUCAACGCUACACACACACACACACACACAAAGUCUGGGGGCUUUCUUGCACCAGCACAGGCAAACUCAAAGGACGAGACCCACACACACGUACAGCUGCAAAAGGCGUAAGCAUGUGGCAAGUGUGCAGGCACGUUUUUAUAUUGCAGCAGCCAGCAGAGCGCUUGUUUGCAUGCCAACAAGGAGUGGCUGCCGGAACAGAAGCCGCAUCCGAAUCCGAAUCUAAAUCAGAAUCAGAAUCAGGAACAGGAACAGCAAACAGGAGAGAAAGGCAGGUUGCAACAGAGACAUCCACAUCCAGACAUCCACUCCAGUCGGAGUCAGGCUCUGUUGCGGUUGCAACAACUCGUUGGGGGCAUUCCAGAAAGUUGUACUGGUCGGUGGGAUUUCGAGCUUAGAGCUUGGACCAGCUGCAUUCCAUGCGAGUGCUUGGGCAUCAGCACAUUUUUGAGCAUUUGAAGACAAACACAAACAGAAGCAUUUUUGCCGGUUUUUUAAUAUUUGUGGUGAAACAAAGUCAUAAUUUAAUUUGUUCCAUAGCCGCACUAAAGAGUUAAAACUCAAACGAGAAAGCUCUUUUAAUAUAGGAAGGAAUAUAGAAGUACGAGGCUUGAUGAAACCGUGAAACUUAAAUAAUUGUGUUGCUCUGUUCAAAGUUUCCAAGAAAGUAUUGUGCGCGAGGUCGAAUGGCAUUCGAUUGUGUCACACGGGGCGGAUGCUUGACGUGACGUGCGCCAAGCUGGAACGGUAACUGCAAUUUGAUAAAGCAGAAUGACAAGUGCAGCACAGCAAAAGGUCAGCAUUCCAGCAAACAGCAAGCACCAUCCCCCCGUGCUCCUAUCUCUUAUGUCCUGUAUUCUCUCCACGCUGCCCAUUUGCAACUGACAGAAGUCAGCGGGAAGGUGACAGGCGAAAACCAGGUAAGACCGUCAAAAAGAAAUCGCUUGGCAUGUGAUGCCAACAUCAGAAACAGUAAUCCCCAAUGAUAAGGCGUCACGGUUGUCGCAGCUAUGAAAGCCAGUGGGCAGAAACGCCCACGUUGCGUUAUUUAUUUGAACUCAUCUGCCGAGCAGGAGCUCUAUGUCAUCGGUGAGGGCAACUGGUUCCAGUUCGGCGCCAUAUCUUUUGUAAAUGUUUCCCCUUCGAUCCACCAGAAACUUGACAAAA